GCACUUACCUUGAAGAAAGUGAAUGGUUAAAAAGCGUAGAGCCAGUUGAAUAUUAAGAAAAGAUAGCCAGGAAUCAAACCAAAUCCAGACCUCACCAGAUCUGUCAAGGUCCAGGCUCAUGACCCCCCUCCGGGUCGCCCACCCUAAUCGCAGUGACUAUCCGUCCUUGCUCUGAACAGAAGUUUUUAUAUCCAUUACUUUAUGUCUCCCGUAUCACAACACUGGGAGGUAGAUGUUAUCAUUGUCAGUUUACACAAGAGAAGCCUACGCCCGAAAAAGUGGAUAGAGUUUCGAGUCAGAUUCCAAACAGGACCUCUGGGCUUUAAAUGGGAGCUGUUGCUUUUAUUCAUAUUAAAAUUUUAAUGCACGGUUUUUCUUUUUCUUCGGAGAGAAGCACCAUUAACUUUGGCAUAUAGCCUUCUAGAUAUUUCCUAUGCAGAUUGACGAAGAUUCUUUGCUUGAGCAAACUUUAGUCAGGCUCCUGAACCUUCUCCUAGGCCAAUCUGUGUACUUCCUGUAAAAAUCCAGUUUUAGCAAAAAACCCUGCUAAAUCAAGUUACCAAGAAUCCCCACCUUUGAUAUGUGAUCACUCUUGAUAUCUGAUGUGUUCCUCAUCCUCCACCAUCCCCCAGUUGAUGUCUGAUCACCCUGGCCUCUUCAGCAAGAAUCUACUGUUACCUCUGAUGUUUCCUCUUAGUAAUUUUUCAUGCACUGCUCCCCACCCUGCUUCCUGGCUAUAAAUUUCCAUUUGCCCAUGUUGUAUUCAGAGUUGAGCCCAGUUUUCACCAAUUGCAAGACACAGUUCCAGUGGUCUCUAUACCUACUUGAAUUGUCCUGAUUAAGUCUUCCUUAUUGUGCUUUAACAAGUAUCAUUGAACAAUUUUUUUCUUAAACGAGAUAUAAAUAUAGAUACUUUUU
rnacentral:lncRNA from 10 species